UACGUAGGGUGCGAGCGUUGUCCGGAAUUACUGGGCGUAAAGGGCUCGUAGGCGGUCUGUCACGUCAGGAGUGAAAACUCGGGGCUCAACCCCGAGCCUGCUUCUGAUACGGGCAGACUAGAGGUAUGCAGGGGAGAACGGAAUUCCUGGUGUAGCGGUGAAAUGCGCAGAUAUCAGGAGGAACACCGGUGGCGAAGGCGGUUCUCUGGGCAUUACCUGACGCUGAGGAGCGAAAGUGUGGGGAGCGAACAGG
rnacentral:rRNA from 1 species